UGUCUAGGUGGUUAUGUAAGUCUGAUGUGAAAAUGCAGGGCUCAACUCUGUAUUGCGUUGGAAACUGCAUGACUAGAGUACUGGAGAGGUAAGCGGAACUACAAGUGUAGAGGUGAAAUUCGUAGAUAUUUGUAGGAAUGCCGAUGGGGAAGCCAGCUUACUGGACAGAUACUGACGCUAAAGCGCGAAAGCGUGGGUAGCAAACA
rnacentral:rRNA from 1 species